rnacentral:pre_miRNA from 1 species
CGCGAUGUAUUUCCUGAUGUUAUCUAGCUGGGUUUGGGCUCGAACAACACCACAUUACGGUUGUCGUUGUUGUUUGAGUGCAAACCGAAAUGUACGUUGGUGACUAGAGCGCGC